rnacentral:piRNA from 1 species
UGGUGUUGUGGAAUCAGAUAGGUUUCUAU